CCUACGGGUGGCAGCAGUGGGGAAUAUUGCGCAAUGGGCGAAAGCCUGACGCAGCGACGCCGCGUGAGGGAUGAAGGUCUUCGGAUCGUAAACCUCUGUCAGCAGGGAAGAAAGGUCACUGUGCUAAUCAUCAGUGAAUUGACGGUACCUGCAAAGGAAGCACCGGCUAACUCCGUGCCAGCAGCCGCGGUAAUACGGAGGGUGCGAGCGUUAAUCGGAAUUACUGGGCGUAAAGCGCUCGUAGGCGGUAUGUCAAGUCAAGGGUGAAAUCCCAGGGCUCAACGGGGGAACUGCAUUUGAAACUGGCGAACUUGAGUGUGUGAGGGGAUAGUGGAAUUCCAGGUGUAGGAGUGAAAUCCGUAGAUAUCUGGAGGAACAUCAGUGGCGAAGGCGAGUAUCUGGCACAUAACUGACGCUGAGGAGCGAAAGCGUGGGUAGCAAACAGGAUUAGAUACCCGUGUAGUC
rnacentral:rRNA from 1 species